AGAGAAACUAGCAGUGAGGGAGUCUGAGAAGGCUCACCAUCCUCACAAGCAGCCCUCGGUCCUUCCUGCCUUUACCCCCAAACAUUUCGCAGCUGACAAAGGAGUUUCCUUUCGGUCCUCUGUAUGCUCCCUGCCCAACCUGGGUGUAAGUCUCCUUCCGCCCUGACCUUUUCUAUUUUGGUCUUUUUCCAGAUGAGAAAUUGAGGCUCAGGCAAGUGAAGUAAGGAAGCAAAGGCCAUGCGGCAAGGAGAGGUCCGAGCUGAGCCUAGACAACGCGAGCCCUGACCCCGUGUCCACAGACGCCUGCGUGCUAGUGGUCAGGGCUGCACAGCACAGCGCAGGUGCCGUUUCAGUGGGCCCCACUUUACAGGAAGAAGCUAAUUUUAUCACAUCAGAAGCGGUAUUUAAAGGGCCGAGGAAUAUACAGUCAAAUGUGCCA
rnacentral:lncRNA from 1 species